UACGGGGGGAGCAAGCGUUGUUCGGAUUUACUGGGCGUAAAGGGCGCGUAGGCGGUCAGCACAGGUCAGUUGUGAAAUCUCCGAGCUUAACUCGGAAAGGUCAACUGAUACUGUGCGGCUAGAGUGCAGAAGGGGCAACUGGAAUUCUUGGUGUAGCGGUGAAAUGCGUAGAUAUCAGGAGGAACACCAGUGGCGAAGGCGGUUCUCUGGGCAUUACCCGACGCUGAGGAGCGAAAGUGUGGGGAGCGAACAGG
rnacentral:rRNA from 1 species